UGGGGAAUUUUGCACAAUGGGCGCAAGCCUGAUGCAGCGACGCCGCGUGAGGGAUGAAGGCCUUCGGGUUGUAAACCUUUUUCGCUCAUGGUCAAGCCGCAGCUUUGGGUUGUGGUGAGGGUAGUGGGUAAAGAAGCGCCGGCUAACUACGUGCCAGCAGCCGCGGUAAUACGUAGGGCGCGAGCGUUGUCCGGAAUUAUUGGGCGUAAAGGGCUUGUAGGCGGUUGGCCGCGUCUGCCGUGAAAUCCUCUGGCUUAACUGGGGGCGUGCGGUGGGUAAGGGUGGACUUGAGUGCGGUAGGGGAGACUGGAAUUCCUGGUGUAGCGGUGGAAUGCGCAGAUAUCAGGAGGAACACCGGUGGCGAAGGCGGGUCUCUGGGCCGUUACUGACGCUGAGGAGCGAAAGCGUGGGGAGCGAACAGG
rnacentral:rRNA from 1 species